rnacentral:rRNA from 1 species
UGGCUCAGAACGAACGCUGGCUCCGCGCUUAAUACAUGCAAGUCGAGCGAGAACCAGGGCUUCGGCCCUGGGGACAGCGCCGAACGGGUGAGUAACACGUGAGCAACCUACCCUUGGCUUUGGGAUAACCCGCGGAAACGUGGACUAAUACCGGAUAUUCACUUCCUGCCGCAUGGUGGGGGGUGGAAAGUUUUUCGGCUGGGGAUGGGCUCGCGGCCUAUCAGCUUGUUGGUGGGGUGAUGGCCUACCAAGGCGACGACGGGUAGCCGGCCUGAGAGGGCGACCGGCCACACUGGGACUGAGACACGGCCCAGACUCCUACGGGAGGCAGCAGUGGG